AACAUCGCGCACCUGCGGGAACCUGCGGAGGGAUCAUUACCGAGUUUACGACUCCCAAACCCCUGUGAACAUACCUAUACGUUGCCUCGGCGGAUCAGCCCGCGCCCCGUAAAAAGGGACGGCCCGCCCGAGGACCCCUAAACUCUGUUUUUAGUGGAACUUCUGAGUAAAACAAACAAAUAAAUCAAAACUUUUAACAAUGGAUCU
rnacentral:misc_RNA from 1 species